rnacentral:tRNA from 1 species
AGAUUUUUUAAUACUCUCUUAAUUUUUUAG